rnacentral:rRNA from 1 species
GACGAACGCUGGCGGCGUGCUUAACACAUGCAAGUCGAACGGAAAGGCCCUGCUUUUGUGGGGUGCUCGAGUGGCGAACGGGUGAGUAACACGUGAGUAACCUGCCCUUGACUUUGGGAUAACUUCAGGAAACUGGGGCUAUUACCGGGUAGGAGCUCCUGCUGCAUGGUGGGGGUUGGAAAGUUUCGGCGGUUGGGGAUGGACUCGCGGCUUAUCAGCUUGUUGGUGGGGUAGUGGCUUACCAAGGCUUUGACGGGUAGCCGGCCUGAGAGGGUGACCGGCCACAUUGGGACUGAGAUACGGCCCAGACUCCUACGGGAGGCAGCAGUGGGGAAUAUUGCACAAUGGGCGGAAGCCUGAUGCAGCAACGCCGCGUGCGGGAUGACGGCCUUCGGGUUGUAAACCGCUUUCGCCUGUGACGAAGCGUGAGUGACGGUAAUGGGUAAAGAAGCACCGGCUAACUACGUG